GACGAACGCUGGCGGCGUGCUUAACACAUGCAAGUCGAACGGGCCUGCCUGGCUUUGGUUGGGUGGGUGAGUGGCGAACGGGUGAGUAACACGUGAGUAACCUGCCCUCUUCUCUUGGAUAACUGCUUGAAAGGGCGGCUAAUACGGGAUGUUCUGGCUGCCUCGCAUGGGGUGGUUUGGAAAGAUUCGGCCUGGUUUUGGUUGUUUUGGUGGGGGAUGGGCUCGCGGCUUAUCAGCUUGUUGGUGGGGUGAUGGCCUACCAAGGCGGUGACGGGUAGCCGGCCUGAGAGGGUGGACGGUCACACUGGGACUGAGACACGGCCCAGACUCCUCGGGAGGCAGCAGUGGGGGAUUUUGCACAAUGGGCGCAAGCCUGAUGCAGCGACGCCGCGUGAGGGAUGGAGGCCUUCGGGUUGUGAACCUCUGUCGCCGGUGAUGUAGGCUCU
rnacentral:rRNA from 1 species